rnacentral:rRNA from 1 species
UGGGGAAUAUUGGACAAUGGGCGAAAGCCUGAUCCAGCCAUGCCGCGUGAGUGACGAAGGCCUUAGGGUUGUAAAACUCUUUCGUCGGGGACGAUAAUGACGGUACCCGAAGAAGAAGCUCCGGCUAACUUCGUGCCAGCAGCCGCGGUAAUACGAAGGGAGCUAGCGUUGUUCGGAAUCACUGGGCGUAAAGCGCACGUAGGCGGAUAGUUAAGUCAGGGGUGAAAUCCUGGGGCUCAACCCCAGAACUGCCUUUGAUACUGGCUGUCUCGAGGUCGAGAGAGGUUGGUGGAAUUCCUAGUGUAGAGGUGAAAUUCGUAGAUAUUCGGAAGAACACCAGUGGCGAAGGCGACUCACUGGACAAGUAUUGACGCUGAGGUACGAAAGCGUGGGGAGCAAACAGGAUUAGAUACCCCGGUAGUCCCUGAGCGGGCUGGCAAGGCGCAU